rnacentral:rRNA from 1 species
AGUGAACGCUGGCGGUAGGCCUAAUACAUGCAAGUCGAGCGGCAGCACAGUAAGCGCGUGCCCUUAAGGUUGGCGAGUGGCGGAUGGGUGAGGCAUACAUCGGAAUCCUCUAUUUCGGGGGGGAUUACGUAGGGCCACUUAUGCUACUACAUCAUACGUCCUACGGGUGAGAGCAGAAGAUCUUCGCACUUUGCGCGUCUCAUUGAGCUGGUGCCGGAUUAGCUAGUUGGCGAGGUAAGGGCCCACCAAGGCGACGAUACGUAGCUGAUCUGAGAGGAUGAUCAGCCACACUGGAACUGAGACACGGUCCAGACUCCUACGGGAGGCAGCAGUGGGGAAUAUUGGGCAAUGGGCGAAAGCCUGAUGCAGCCAUGCCGCGUGAGUGAUGAAGGUCUUCGGGUCGUAAAGCCCUUUUGUUGGGAAAGAAAAGAAGUGGGUGAAACCGUGGAUGUUCUGACGGUACCCAAUGAGUAAGCACCGGCUAACUACGUG